UAUGAAAUUACUUUUAAAGAAGUUAUUUUUUAGAAAAAUAUUGUAUUAAUUUUAAUUUAUUUUAAAGUAUGAUAUUUAUAUACUAAAGAUAUUUUCUCAUUACAUAUUUUAAUACUAUUUUUUGCAUAUUUUAUUUUAAUGAUAAUAUUUUAUUAAAUUAUUUUUAUGCAUAUAUUUGUUCCAAUUAUAUAAAAACACUACUAUAUAAGUUGAAAAAAUGAAAGAUAUUUCUCAUUACAUAUUUUAAUAUUAUUCUUUUCAGAUUUUAACUUUUAGCGAUUAUUUAUUUACUUAUUUACUUAUAUGCAUAUAUUUGUUUCAACCAUAUAAAAUUCAACUAUAAAAUUGUAAAAAGGAAAGUUUAUGAUUUUGUUAUUUCUCAGAAUUAGGAAAAUACACUACAAAAAACACAUCAAUUCAUUUGUAUCUCAUAAAUAAAUUAUAUUAGUUUCAUUUAUUUAUUACCCGCAAAAUUAAGUAUACUUCAUAUGAUUAGAAAUAUCUAAUUAUUCAAAACAAAACAAAAAAUCUGGUCGAAAAAAGAAUUAUGGGUAUGAUAAAGUUUUACCGAAAGUAAAUGCUAAUAGUUAAUUAGCAUUUAUGGUUUUGUUUUGGUUUGUAAAGAAAACUUAUUUGUUAGUUUAAAUAUAGGAUAUCUCUAUUAUUUUGUAAAUAUGAUGAAAAUCUAAAGGCAGAAUCCUAAAUUUUUAAAAUAGGAUCUUACUUUAAUAGUAUAGAUAUCAUACACUAUACUAUACCAUAUUCUUUAUCCAGAUGGUACGAUCUUCUUUUUACUGGUUCACAAUGUUUACCACCUUCUUGGCCUUUGUUGAUUAUAAAAGUAUAGUAUUGGUAUGUUUUUGCUUGUAAUUUCUUAGUCUUGUAAAUAAAUAUAAACCAAUUGGUUUAUAAAAAUGAUACACCAACAAAACAUAACACAUGGGGUUUACAAGAAAAUAAAAUUUGCAGAAGAGGUGGGAGAGAUGUUGCAAAGGUUAAUGCAGGAGAAGAAGCCACCAUAAGAAGUAGAGGAGGAGAAAAUUACGAUGGGAGUAAGUGGGGAGACGACGGGUUGCGAUACUGGCGGAGGACAGUAUGGUAGCAGUGGUGAAAUGAUUGGUUGUGGUUGUGGUGGUGAUGCUUCAGUAACUAAUUGGACAUGAAAAAAGAAGAAGUUGAGAGAAGAAAAGAGUAAACGAGGAUGAUGAUACAGAAUCAGAAACAAAAGAGAAGAAGAAGAAAUAUUGUAUUAUACUACACUUUGACAAUAAAAAAAAUAGUAUACUAUAAUACUUACAAUAAUGUUAAUUUGCUAGAAUUUGUGUACAUUCUUCACCGAAAUGUAUUGUUUACAGCCGAUUCAUUUCAGUGGCAUACAACUUUUAAUUUUUCUAUGAAUCUUCAUUUUAUUCUAUUUGUUACAACACUAUAGAAUAGAACAUACUAACAGAGAGCAUUGUUCUUCUCCAGUGCAACCCAACAUCUGAUUUUAGGGUGGUGAUGAGUGGCAACGGUUCUGAAGGAAAAGACGAGGGAGAUAACAUAGUGUAAAAAUAAUAAUCAUGAGGCGAAGGAGAUACAAUUGGCGUAAUUAUAUAAACGAUAAAACAGUUUGAAAUUGUUACAUGACAUUAGAAAUCAGAGAAAAUCAAGGGAUUUACCUAAGGUUUCAGGAAAUUAUAGAUGGUGGAGUUCUUUUUGGUUAUAGAACGUUUAUUUAUUAUUUUAAUUGGCUUAUUAUUUAUGAUGUCGAUAAAUACUUUGUGAUUUAUUGUUUCUUAAAAAUCAUAAAUUAUCUGUCAUAAUUUGAUUGGUAGGGUGACAUACUUUAGUUGCAAUACUUUAGUAUAUAAAGAAAACUAGAGCUUGACCCGCGCAUCCGCGCAGGUAUUUAUUUUUUAUUUUUUUAAUAUAUAUUUAUCUUAUAUAAAUGUAUAUAUAUAUAUAUAUAUUAAAAAUGUAUCUGUAUUAAAUAAUUUUUAGCAUUUAAAAAAAUUAUAAUUAAGAAUGAAUAAUUUUAUUUUAUUUUUUGAUUUGUCAAUUGUAUCAUCUAUAUUUUUAAAAUAUGACUCGUGUGUUCGUUUAAAUGUAUUUGUUACGGGUCAAAAUUUUAAUGUAAAAUAAAAGUGUCAUCUAUGGUUAUAUUUGAUUUAUACGAUUAAAAAAAUCAAUAUAUCAUUAAUUUUUUGUGUUUUAUAUUAUGUAUUUUAUAACAUUUUCUUGUGUUUUUUGACAUAGUUAAUUAUACUAAAAUAAAAAAUAACCAACCCGUAAUAAUGGACAUCUUAUUACAUUUUUGGAAUUGAUUAAGUAUAAUUUAAUGUUUAGCUAGAUUAUAGGAAAUAUUUCUAAAAUAAAUGACACUUAAUUUAUUGUACUUCAAUUUAGGAAAAUACAUUAAUAAAACAGAAAAAGACAAGCAUUAAAAUAGGCAGUUUAAUAAUUAAUCAGUGGCAUAGAAAUGUAAAUAAGUUUAAAAACUAAGGAGUAAUUUUAAAUGGUACUUAUUUUUUAAAAAUAGAGAUAUUCAUAAUUUCCAUAAUAUGGAAACUAACUUUUUAAUAAGUAUAAAACAAUAAUACUGUCAUGAAUUUUUAAAAUUUACAGUAAUAAAAGUAAAAAAUAUUUCUAUAUUGAUUUUAUAUUAAAAUAUUUUAGGCAAAUAUUUCCAUAAGUUUUUUUAUUUAGAUAUAUCUAAUUUUAUAUUAAAAAAAAUUUCCUUAAAAAUAUAAUAAUUUAUAAUUAAGAAUAAAUAUAUUCAAUAUAUAAAUAUACUUUUUAAAUAAUCAUAAAUUUAUCAUCAACCAACUCAAAAUAUAAAUCUAUUAUUUGAAAGUUGAAGGUAUAUAAAUUAUGUAAAACAAUGUUUUCAGAUGAAAAUAAUUUUGGCAGCUAAAACAAUCAUGCGCUUUGAAAGCUCAUAUCACAAAAAUCAAUACGAUAGCUAUAAUAGUGCUGUUCGUUUCAUUGACGCAGGUUCCUGCGGCUGCGGCUGAGUCUGCGGUUGCGGCUGCGGCUGAGUCUGUGGCUGCGGCCAUUCGUUUGGUUGUUGUUCGUUUUGCAGCCGCAGACUCAGCCGCAGCCGCAGCCGCAGACGCAGCUUAUUGUUCGUUUCGAAAACGCAGGACAUUGCCGCAGUCGCAGACGCAGAAGCAUAAAGUAGAUUUAGUUAUGUUCGUUUGGUUGCCGCAGACGCAAUUUUCAUUUAUUUCAUAUUUUAAUUUUAUGAAUUUUAUGAAUUUUUAAAAUUGUAUUUUAAAUAAAUAAAAUACUAUAAAAUUGUAAAAUAUUGUAAAAUUUCAUAUUUUAAUCUUAUGAAUUUUAUGAAUUUGUAAAAUUGUAGAGUUAACAACAUUUUUUUAUCAUAAACAAAAGCUAAUAAUACAUCAAGUCUUAAAUAAAUAAAACAAAUAUUUCAAAUAUCACAUAAAACUGAUAAUCAAAGUUAUAAGCAAAAAAAAAAAAGUCAUUAACUAAAUCAUUUAAUACGGUAAACGACCUCUACCAUAUUCAUCUGUGAUGCUCUUACGCAAAGCUUCCAUCGCUCUAUCACCGGUCGGCUCAUAUACAAUAUGUCCACCACCACCACCCCCACCACCACCCCCACCACCACCACCAUCAUCAUCAUCAUCAUCAUCACCUUCUUCUCAUUCUUCAUCACCAUCAGCUCCUUCUGCUUCUCCUUCUCCAUCAUCAUCACUUUGCCAUUGUACAAAAUCAUGAUCUUCUCGAUGUGAAUCACGUAUGAAGUUGUGUAGCGCCAUCGUCGCUGUCACGAGCUUAAUCCAGUUGACCAGACCAUACUUUGGAUGCUUACGAUCCAAAAUCCUCCAUUUUGCUUUCCAUACUCCAAAUGUCCUCUCAAUCACCGAUCGUAAUCCUGAAUGCUUUCGGUUGAACAACUCUCGUGCACUAACUGGUGGUCCUCCUCUAGCAAACUGACCAAGAUGAUAUCGCAUACUCCGAUGCGGACCAAGAUACCCCGUCCUGGUCAGAUAUCCCGAGUCAACUAGAUAAUAUUUUUCACGAGGAGGAUGUGGGAAAGAAGCCUCAUUCCUCGCACAAUGAGUCAAGACCUUUGUAUCAUGUGCUCUACCAGGUACACCGAGAUAUGCGUAUUUAAACUUCAUGUCGAAGUUACAUAUAGCAAGAACAUUCAUUGCAGGAUCUUGCUUUCUACCUUUAUAUGCUUCUGCAUUUUGACUUGGACGGCGAACCGGCACAUGAGUUCCAUCGAGUGCUCCAACACAAUCUCUAAAAUGAGGUCAAUACCGAUCAUCAUUCCUCAAAACAGGACUUACUCUUCCAAACAGAACAAUUCUCGCAUUGCACCUCAACUCAUCUCACACUUGAAGAAUCUGCAACAUACCAUCAAUGCUUUAAAACAGAGACGACCAUCACUAAAGUAUCAAACAGAGAAAGCGACUAUUACCUCAAAGAGAGAGAACUCGAGAUGGGUUUGUCGGAGAACAGAGAGAUGUGUUGGAGAUGGAGAGAGAGAGAGAGAGAGAGCUUGAGAUGAGUUUGUGUCCGAGAGCUCAUGAUGGAGAGCGCGCCUGAGAUCGAGAGAGAUCGAGAGAGAUGGAGAGCGCGCCUGAGCUGACAGAGAUCGUAGAAGAUGGCUCUGAUUUAUCUAUUGUGUCUGAUAGAGCAAAUCAAAUAUGUGUUUCUAAAGAUCAGUGGUAUCCUCUUUCACACCAUGGGUGCUGCCUCGUACACCUACAGAGAAACGUCGACGCAAAAUUCAAGAAAAGGAAUCAAAAGCAAAUGGUUGGCAGGACAGCCGAGGUAUUCAAGGUAUCCAACUUUAAGAGACUUUACGCGGAGAUCAAACUUCCAGAUAAGCGCUGUUGGGAUUAUCUUGAGAAGAUCGAUCCUAGACAUUGGACAAGGUCACACUUUGAGGGCGAGCGGUACAAUCUAAUGAGCUCGAAUAUAGCUGAGUCUCUCAACAAAGCACUAGUUCCUGCGCGCGAUUCCCCGAUAAUGGCGCUAUUUGAGUUCAUCAGACGCAUGAUUAGUCGUUGGUUUGUGAGUAGACAGCGAAAGAUAUCGAAAAUGAGUGGUGAGAUCCCCCUGGCUAUUGACGAGUGGAUGGAGAACAAUCUAGAAGACGCAAGAGCGUACGCUGUGAUGCCUCUGUCUGCUUUUGAAUUUUAGGUAACUCUAAAAACAACCGGCUUCGGGAGUUCUGUUAAUUUGGAAACCAGGUCUUGCACAUGUCUUGAAUUCCAUAAAGUUGGAAUACCAUGUCGACAUGCCAUUGCUGCGGCUAUGUUUUCGGACUUGCAGCACUCAGAGUUCGUUGCAGACGCCUAUCUAAAAAAGACAUGGAAUGAAACAACAAAGGGUGUUACACUCCCGGUUCCAGAUCCGCAAGAUCUUUUCAUACUUUCGGAGGUUAGUGACCUUAUCAUGUUACCACCAAAGACGAAGAGACCACCAGGACGUCCACCGAGAAAGCGUAAACGUUCUGCAGGAGAAAUACCGGUACGACCUAAUCUCAUCUGAGUGUAGUCAUGGAUAUUUUCUGAAUAAAGGCUGUUAUGUUUUUUUCAGGAGGGGCCGAAGAAGAAGAAACUAAACACAUGUAGUCGAUGUCAUACCUCAGGUCACAACAGAAAGUCUUGUAAAGAACUGCUACCAUGAUGGGGAUGGAGGAAAUUUUAUGUAUUGUUGACAAGGGAGUUCUUGUUUUUUGGAAAUUUAAGUGUUUAGGUGUUUCCUAAUAACACAUCUAUAAUGCUAUUUUGCGAACUGAUGAGAUAUGGAUUACGCAGUGCUUCUUCUUGAAUUUAUUAGAUAUGUAUGGUUUUAUUAUCAUUCCUUAAUAUGGUGUUCAUGUUUAUGAUUUGAUGUAACUUGUUUAUAACUUGAGGUGUACGAUAUCUGUGUAGCCAAUCUAGCCGUUAGAAAGGCAUUUAAAUACAAUGUAGCCGUUGUAUUGUGGUCCAAUAAUAAUAUAGCCGUUACAAUCUCAGUUUAUUUAAGUAUGAGUGCUUGUGUCGUCUAUAUUUCAGACUUUUUGUGAUUCUCUCUUUACUCUCAUUUUUAUACUAAAGAUGGGACUUGAUUAUAGCUAUAGCCAGCCUCGGAAUCAGAGGACUAUGGUGGGAAUGACUCCAGCGACACAGAAGACCGUGAGGUUGAAGAUCUUAUUCGUCGGGACCAAGCUGAGCUAAAUUACAAUUAUGCUGCGAGGGUUCAGUACCCUCUGCAACCCGAGGUCGAAUUUGGAUUCCCGCAGACAUGCUACUGUGGUGGUCGGCCUAAGCUAGCAACAUCUCGCACUGUAAAUGAUCUAGGUAGAAGAUACUACACGUGUGAUAAUGUUAAUGAUGGAGACUGUCAUGUUCAUAAAUGGUGGGAUGACGCGGUUAUGGAGGAGAUGAGAGCCAGGGAUACUCACACACUUCAAUUGUCUGAAAAGGUAGAUUAUCUAACCUUUUUGAAUGACUAUGACCCACAACGUAACCAGUUUAAGGAUCUCUAAAAUGAGACUGAGCAGAAGCUGGUUAGGCUAGAAAAGAUAGUGUCUGAGUUAGCUGAAAAGAGAACAAGGUUAACCAAUGGCUUCGAAUACUUUGUUGGUGAAAUGGUUAUUAUAUUAGUUUUACUUGGUUUGGUGAUCAUAUUCAAGUAACUCUUUAUUUUGUAAUGUAAUAAAUCGGAUGAGUAAUGAACUCUUGAUGUGGUUUUUUGUAAUGUAUCAUUUUUUUAUGAUUCUACUAAAAAUCUAUGAACGAAUAAACACGUUUGUAAUUAAAAAUAGUGAAUACAUCCCUCUCAAAACAACAAAACUCAAUAUGGCCGUUGUUCAAUAAUAUAUCCUUUGGAGCUACUUACCGUUAGAAAUGCUUUUGAAGUAAAAUAUAGCCGUUACUAUCUUACACUAUUUAAGUAGAAUUCAGAACACUCAACAAUCUCUCUUCACAACACUCAACAAUCUCUCUUCACCACACUCACCAGUACCACAAAAUGACGGAUCUUUACUAUAAAGAGAUGAAGCAUCAGAAAAGGGAGUAUGACUGGGUGAGCAAUUGUGUCUAUGCCAAUUACAAAAUUCCAACGAAGUGUAUCUGCGGUGGAGCUAUCACCGUGGAAGCUGAUGACAGAGGAAGAAACUAUUACGUAUGCAAAUAUUUUAAGGUAAUAUUGGAGUUCACAAUAGGAAAAUUUGCCUCCAUUGUUAACGGAAAUGGUAUUGUUUUUAGCGAACAAAUCUAAUAUAUCUUCUUGUAGAACGGUGGUUUGCACAUCCGACAUUACUGCCUUACCGCCCUCGAGGAAGAGCUGGAUUGCUUGAGAAGUCAGUACGCUGAGGAGGUGUCGCUCCGCCGUCAGCUGCAAUUUGAACUUGCGCAAAUGCGUGAGGAGAUCAAAGAGCUUAAGCAAUUAAUUAUGGUGGAUCGCUGAUCUUAGCAUUUAUCGGAUCUAUUAUGUAAUUUUCGUACUCUUCUAUCAAAUUUGUACUCUUUAUGUUAAGGUUAAUUUGUACUCUUUUAUGUAAUUUUAUGUUAAGGUUAAUUUGUACUCUUCUAUCAAAUUUGAACUGUUUAUCUCAUAAAGGGCCUAUCCAUUUCCAAUUAAAAGGCAAACUGAUUUGAAUUAAUAAAUGCAACACAUAAUAUUUACUCAUUUCUCUUUUAAGGUGUACGAAAGUCAUCAUUAUACCCCUUCGGUUACGUAAGUUUCAUAAUGUAGUUUUAAAUUAGGGCUACCUUCUGACACGGACAAGACAUCUUCUUUAUACAUAUUUGUACUAAUUAAUGUAUGAACUUAUGGUAUUCUCAUCUCUCUCUUCGUUGGUGUACGAACACGCGUACACUUAUGGAUUUAAUACGAAAAUAAAUUUAAGUAAACUCUGCCUACGACAAGAAAGUUUCUUAGUUUAUUUCGCAUGGUCUAAUCAGUCGGAGAUUUAAUUCUACCAAGGAGUGGCAACGAUUUAAUUCGCAUGGUUUCAACCGAGGAGUAGCAAUGGAACGCCGCGUCUGUUACCAAAAAAUUAAUUAUUUUGGUAAUAUAUAUACUACUCUGUUGUCAUUUAAUAUCUUUCAAAACACAUUCUCUGCAAACCUCUUUCUUUCCAAAAAUGGUGUCAGGUAUCAGCCAGAGAAAAAUGACGGUAAAAAAAUACAAGCGAUACUUUUACAGUUUGCCUAUGGUCGGCGAACGCACCGAGCAGGAGUUGAUCCAGUUGGCCAAGUCCGGGUUGAAGGAAGAGAUCCGCCAAGGUCUGGAAACUGAGGAGUUUACCACACUCGAGGCCAUGUUCGAGGAGGCAGAGGAAGUCGAGGAGGGGUUAAAGGAAACACAUCCAUCCAGCCCUCGCAAACGCCGCCGCACAAGCCCCGAUCACCGCAGGAGCAAACGUGCUCGCCAGGCGGUGAAAAAAGGUGACCCGGAGGAUGAGAGUUUUGGAUAUGACGGCGAAGGAGCGACGGAGCAGAAGGACGAUGAAGAUGGUGACUACUGGGAGUGGAUGCAGAUGGAGACGGACGUGGAUGACGACGCUUCCGACAGGAGCGACGACACAUUGGGUUUUGGGCAGUUCAGGAUGGACGACUACCCAGACAGCUCCGGCACCGACUCCAGCACCUCCGACUCCGACUCCAACUAGGAACCUCCUCCUCUUUAAUAUUAUUAAAUAUUUUGAAUUUUAUUGUUUUUCUUAAUUAUGUUGAACUCUUUUUUUUUUUUGAACUCUUAAUUAUAUUUUAUAAUAUUUCUGUUUAAUAUUAUUGCUGUUUAAUAUUAUUGCCCUUUAUGAUUUCUGUUUAUUAUUGCUGUUUUUUUAUGCAUGUUUAAUAUUGCUAAAAUUAGGAAUUGCUAAUUAUGACUAAUAAGUAUAGCUCAACAUUAUAUUAUAUAAUUCUAUUCAUUUAUACGAAUACUGACAGUAUACGAAUACUGACGGUAUACGAAUACUGACAGUAUACGAAUACUGACGGUAUACGAAUAAUUCCAUUAAUUACUCACUUUUAUUACUCAACAUUCAUAAUUCCAUUAAUAUUUAUCUUUAUUCACUUUUCAUUGAUUAAACGGUAUACGAAUACUGAAGGUAUACGAUAGAAAACAGAUAACAUUGACGAAUACUUAAGGUAUACGAAUACUUAAGGUAUACGAAUACUUACGGUAUACGAAAGAAAACAUAUAACAUUGACGAAUACUUAAGGUAUACGAGAGAAAACAGAUAACAUUGACGAAUACUUAAGGUAUACGAAUACUAAAGGUUUACGAAUACUUAAGCUAUACGAUAGAAAACAGAUAACAUCGAGGAUAACAUAAAUAAAGUCCUAGAGGAUGUGAGAAAUGUUGCAGCAUAUCCAAAAUAGCCUGCAGUUUUUACAAGAACCUUCAAAAUCGACUGUGUAAUCAUGGCCAUAAAGGCAGCUUGGUGACUUGAUUACCUCAUCAUCCGGAAAUUUGAAAGAUGCACCAUAUCUGUUCAUGUAUGGCGCUCCAAAUGAUGUCAAUCGCCACUCUAGAUCAGCUCCCAGUCCAACUAUCGCAUCCGAGUGAAGGUCAUAGUGAUUAGCUGCGAACUGCUGAAACAGUUUACUGGUUUCCUUGUCAUUGCCAAUACACACGUUGAAAAUGCCGACUGCUAAGGUUGAUAAAUCAUGAUUUGGGACAUUUCGUUGUAAUAUUCUAAUACAUUUCUCAGGACCUACGAUCAUGCUGCAUAGAGCCCUUCAUAGUAGAUAGCGUUUGUGUUGCCAGCUGUUACGCACUUGAUGAAAAACUCCUGAAACUAACCACCAGUGCAAAUUUGACAUGUUGCAAAGGUGACCAUUGGCCGAACAUUACACUUCCUUAAGACGGAGGGUUCAUGGACAAGUGCAUAACCGCGUUUCCCAGCCCGCAAAAUACCACCAAGAUAGUAGAAU